CAAAUUCUAUGGAAAAAUCUAUCGCAAUGCCCCCUCCCCAUUACCAUUCAGGAAUUGGGCUUUAGGGGAGGGUGGAGGGUACAAGUCCUUUCAUCAGAGACCAGUAUCAAUGAUUUAUUAUGUGCCUUUAAGAACAAAAAAAAUGAACUUUCACCCUUUCCUCAGGACCAAGCAUUUGGACCUCCCGCACAGCCAGAAAGCUGCAUUCUCAAUGCUUCUUCCCAAUUUCUCAUUUGCGACAUCUGACUUGGAGGCAGAUGAGCUCCGCGUCAAAGAGGACAUCCUUAACAGCUUCUCUAUGGCCUUUUCUUGACGAAAACAGAAAGACUGAACAAAAGAAAAGGCUGGUCCCUGAGAUAAGAGGAGGAUGUUCAAGAGAAAGCCUUGCAAAAGGUCCCAGGAGCAGUGGGCUGUGAACUCCUCUCUUGGCAGCGAGUUAAAGGGCAGAGAAACAUCCAGAAUGGUAAAUGAAUUGGUAUGUGUGAGUCUGUGUGUCUGGAUGUGUUAUAAUCAGUACCUAAUAUAUUUUUGAUCUGGAGUGAAUUGCUUCUUAAUGCUCUCUCCUUGGGACACCUGGGUGGCUCAGUUGGUUAAGUAUCUGCCUUCAGCUCAGGCCGUGAUCCCGAGGUCCUGGGAUUGAGUCCCACAUUGGGCUCCCCACAGAGAGCCUGCUUCUCCCUCUGCCCAUGUCUCGGCCUCUCUCUAUGUCUCGAAUGAAUGAAUGAAUGAAUGAAUGAAUGAAUAAAUAAAUAAAUAAAUAAAUAAAUAAAUAAAUA
rnacentral:lncRNA from 12 species